rnacentral:rRNA from 1 species
AAGGGGGGGAUCGCUAGACCUCUCACUAUAGGAGCGGCCGAUAUCGGAUUAUCUAGUUGGUGGGGUAAAGGCCUACCACGGUGACUAUCCGUAGCUGGAUUGAGAUGACGACCAGUCACACUGGGACUGAGACACGACCCAUACUCCUACGGGAGGCAGCGAAGGGGAAUUUUGGACAAUGGGGGAAACCCUGAUCCAGCCAUCCCGCGUGUGUGAUGAAGGCCUUCUGGUUGUCAAGCACUUUUGACGAGGAAGAAAUGACAGGAGCUAAUAACUUCUGUAGAUGACGGUACCUGUAGAAUAAGCACCGGCUAACUACGUGCCAGCAGCCGCAGUAAUACGUAAGGUGCAAGCGUUAAUCGCAAUUACUGGGCGUAAAGGGUGCGCAGGCGGCUAGNGAAAGAAAGAUGUGAAAUCCCAGGGCUCAACCUUGGAACUGCAUUUUUAACUACCUAGCUAGAGUAUGUCAGAGGGGGGUAGAAUUCCACGUGUAGCAGUGAAAUGCGUAGAGAUGUGGAGGAAUACCGAUGGCGAAGGCAGCCCCCUGGGAUAAUACUGACGCUCAGGUACGAAAGCGUGGGGAGCAAACAGGAUUAGAUACCCUGGUAGUCCACGCCCUAAACGAUGUCAACUAGCUGUUGGGGCCGUUAGGCCUUAGUAGCGCAGCUAACGCGUGAAGUUGACCGCCUGGGGGAGUACGGGUCGCAAAGAUUAAAACUCAAAGGAAUUGACGGGGACCCGCACAAGCGGUGGAUGAUGUGGAUUAAUUCGAUGCAACGCGCAAAACCUUACCUACGCUUGACAUGUCUGGAAUUCUGAAGAGAUUUAGAAGUGCCCGCAAGGGAACCGGAACACAGGUGCUGCAUGGCAGUCGUCAUCUCGUGUCGUGAGAUGUUGGGUUAAGUCCCGCAACGAGCGCAUCCCUUGUCACUAGUUGCUACGCAAGAGCACUCUAGUGAGACUGCCGGUGACAAACCGGAGGAAGGUGGGGAUGACGUCAAGUCAUCAUGGCCCUUAUGCGUAGGGCUUCACACGUCAUACAAUGGUCGGUACAGAGGGUCGCCAACCCGCGAGGGGGAGCUAAUCUCAUAAACCCGAUCGUAGUCCGGAUCGCAGUCUGCAACUCGACUGCGUGAAGUCGGAAUCGCUAGUAAUCGCGGAUCAGAAUGCCGCGGUGAAUACGUUCCCGG